rnacentral:lncRNA from 1 species
AUAUGUUGUCACAUAUGGCACGGCUUUCAUGAACUUUAACAGUAACUGGGGUCUUUUUGUUUGGCACUGCCGAACAGAUUGAAUAAGGGAUAAACAAGAAUAUAUCUUCAUGGUUCAGCUUGGCAAACUGGAUGUAUAAGUCACAGAAUAAAAAUCCGUAAUUCCACAUAACACAAUCGCACCGAAAGUAUCUAACUUUUUUUUUACAUAAUCCCAGUGAAACAAAGGUGCGCCAACCCUCGUGCAUUCAUGUUGCUUAAAGAAGUGCAGCGACAAGGCACUGGGCACUGGAACAUAAAAAAAAAACGCCAACAAGAGUACUCACGCCAGUACUGCUACAAGUGCAGUUCUGAACUCCUCAUGUACUGUGUACUGCAUUACAUAGUAACCAUACUUUACGUACCCUCAUUCCGAGAUCGACCUGGUAGGCUGGCCAGCUGCAGGAAAAGACUAUCGGCCGGCCGGUCCUGUUCAGUGCCUGGGUGUACGCUGGGUA